GAUGUUAGCGGCGGACGGGUGAGUAACACGUGGGUAACCUGCCUGUAAGACUGGGAUAACUCCGGGAAACCGGGGCUAAUACCGGAUGGUUGUUUGAACCGCAUGGUUCAGACAUAAAAGGUGGCUUCGGCUACCACUUACAGAUGGACCCGCGGCGCAUUAGCUAGUUGGUGAGGUAACGGCUCACCAAGGCGACGAUGCGUAGCCGACCUGAGAGGGUGAUCGGCCACACUGGGACUGAGACACGGCCCAGACUCCUACGGGAGGCAGCAGUAGGGAAUCUUCCGCAAUGGACGAAAGUCUGACGGAGCAACGCCGCGUGAGUGAUGAAGGUUUUCGGAUCGUAAAGCUCUGUUGUUAGGGAAGAACAAGUGCCGUUCAAAUAGGGCGGCACCUUGACGGUACCUAACCAGAAAGCCACGGCUAACUACGUGCCAGCAGCCGCGGUAAUACGUAGGUGGCAAGCGUUGUCCGGAAUUAUUGGGCGUAAAGGGCUCGCAGGCGGUUUCUUAAGUCUGAUGUGAAAGCCCCCGGCUCAACCGGGGAGGGUCAUUGGAAACUGGGGAACUUGAGUGCAGAAGAGGAGAGUGGAAUUCCACGUGUAGCGGUGAAAUGCGUAGAGAUGUGGAGGAACACCAGUGGCGAAGGCGACUCUCUGGUCUGUAACUGACGCUGAGGAGCGAAAGCGUGGGGAGCGAACAGGAUUAGAUACCCUGGUAGUCCACGCCGUAAACGAUGAGUGCUAAGUGUUAGGGGGUUUCCGCCCCUUAGUGCUGCAGCUAACGCAUUAAGCACUCCGCCUGGGGAGUACGGUCGCAAGACUGAAACUCAAAGGAAUUGACGGGGGCCCGCACAAGCGGUGGAGCAUGUGGUUUAAUUCGAAGCAACGCGAAGAACCUUACCAGGUCUUGACAUCCUCUGACAAUCCUAGAGAUAGGACGUCCCCUUCGGGGGCAGAGUGACAGGUGGUGCAUGGUUGUCGUCAGCUCGUGUCGUGAGAUGUUGGGUUAAGUCCCGCAACGAGCGCAACCCUUGAUCUUAGUUGCCAGCAUUCAGUUGGGCACUCUAAGGUGACUGCCGGUGACAAACCGGAGGAAGGUGGGGAUGACGUCAAAUCAUCAUGCCCCUUAUGACCUGGGCUACACACGUGCUACAAUGGACAGAACAAAGGGCAGCGAAACCGCGAGGUUAAGCCAAUCCCACAAAUCUGUUCUCAGUUCGGAUCGCAGUCUGC
rnacentral:rRNA from 1 species